ensembl:lncRNA
CGCGAGCUGGUUCUUAAAACUUUGCUCAGAAGUGAAACACUUCGGAGAGUUCUCGUCAAGAUGGCGCUGUGAGCAGACGUUGAACUCGCCUCCUCCCACGAACACAACCAGGUUACAACAAUUUUGGGAAGAAUCACCCUGGAUUGAAAACUGAAAACUGGAUAAAAAGAACCCCCACGACAAGGGACAGUCCUGACGAAAGCAGAAGAGGCAGUACCUCCGGCCGGAGAGGAAAAAAGCCACCUUUGGGAGCAGUGGAGCUUCUCAACUGGCCAGGCAGGAGCCAACCUAAGAUUCUGCAAGUUUUGAGAAAUGUAUGAUGACAUGUAUCCACCAUAACUUAAACAACAGAAAUUUAUUUUCUCAUUGUUCUGGAGGCUGGAAGUCUGAGGUCAGGGUGCCAGCACAGUCAGCUUCUGUCACAAUUACAUCUUCUAUACUGAUCCCUGGAAUAUUCACAAUUGGAACCCCGAGCCACUAUGUUAGAAGUCUUACUACUCUGAGGCUGCCAUACAGUGAGGAAGCAAAGCCACAUAAAAAUGCUACAUGCAGGUCUUCCGAAGAGCAGUCCUCAAGUUCCUGUUAUCCCAGCCUAGCGUCAGACAUGGAAGUGAAUGAGCUUCAGAUGGUUCCAACUCCAGCCAUCAAGUGUCUUAGAGGCUUUCUGUUUGAAAGUUCAGCUGCCAUGGAGCAAAAAAAGCAUAUACUCCCACUCGGCCCUGAGUUCCUGACCCACAGGAUCUAAUGUCUAGUACAGUGCAUGGCACAUGAUAGAAGGAGAGCUCUUAAUGCCAGGUGGGAAAACAAAGCUAUGUAUAAACUUCUCCCACUGGCCCAGCAGUGACAGGCUCAGCUCACGAGGCCACGGAAGAAACACAUUCUGUGAGGUUGCCAUCAGCAGAAAAGCUUCCAAACUGCCUUUCCUCAAUCGAUGUUUGAAUGCACUCAAGGCGGCUUUACCCACAGCACUGCUCAAACAAUUCCAUGAUAACAUUCAUUUAUCAUCUUGGCAAGGAUGAGCCCAAUGGUGAAAUGGAUAUCUGCUUUCAUAAGGAACUUGAAAUGGAGAUAACUAUGCCCAGGACAAAACGCUGGAAACCUAAUUUAAUCCAAGACACACUCAAUAGUGAAUAUAUUUGAGGACAUUGUUUAGAUUGAAUUAUAAUAGUUGGUAGCUUAGUACAUGGAGAAUAAUACCACGAGGACAACAUCCUGAGUUUGAUCAAUCUCAUCUCCCGAAUAUCUGUGAAAUGAUGCCUCCCCCGAUGUCUUCUUGUGUCCCAGACUUUAAUGCCUGUAUCUGUCGUCAAGGAAGAGUCAGGUGUCACAUGGAUAACUUCUCAACUUUGAAGGUUUUGGGGACUGCAGUGCUCAGCAUUAAAAUAAGGUCCAUCUGCUCCAAAAUUGUAAAUCUCUAUUUAGAGAUCAUCUUUCUGACAUGGAGGCGGAGAGCAAUGGAUAAUUAUCGUUCCUAACUGAAGUCCCAAAGACAACCUCCUUCUUGGUCAAGGCUCGCACUUCCUUAGUAAACACAGCAGUGCCACGCAGUCCUGGGCACUGGGCAUGGUAGAGGUGUCCCACAGCCACCCACUGAUUGAUUCGCUCGUCUUCCUGAUGUGGCAGGAUCCCCGUGCUAACCUCUGUUUCCCAACACUGGCAGUCAGCCAGAAGAAGUGAAG